rnacentral:rRNA from 1 species
AGAACGAACGCUGGCGGCGUGGAUAAGACAUGCAAGUCGAGCGCUGAUUACGGGGUAGCAAUAUCUCGUAGUUGGAGCGGCGCAAGGGUGCGUAACACGUGGGUAAUCUGCCAUGAAGUCCGGGAUAACUCGCUGAAAGGCGAGCUAAUACCGUAUGUGAAAAUUGGGAGGCAUCUUCUGAUUUUCAAAGCUGGGGACCGUAAGGCCUGGCGCUUCAUGAUGAGCCCGCGGCCUAUCAGCUAGUUGGUGAGGUAACGGCUCACCAAGGCUAAGACGGGUAGCUGGUCUGAGAGGACGACCAGCCACACUGGAACUGAGACACGGUCCAGACACCGUACGGGUGGCAGCAGUCGAGUAAUUUUUCAC